rnacentral:rRNA from 1 species
UACGAAGGGGGCUAGCGUUGUUCGGAAUUACUGGGCGUAAAGCGCACGUAGGCGGACUGUUUAGUCAGGGGUGAAAUCCCGGGGCUCAACCCCGGAACUGCCUUUGAUACUGGCAUUCUCGAGUCCGGAAGAGGUGAGUGGAAUUCCGAGUGUAGAGGUGAAAUUCGUAGAUAUUCGGAGGAACACCAGUGGCGAAGGCGGCUCACUGGUCCGGUACUGACGCUGAGGUGCGAAAGCGUGGGGAGCAAACAGG